GAUGAAGAACGCAGCGAAAUGCGAUAAGUAAUGUGAAUUGCAGAAUUCAGUGAAUCAUCGAAUCUUUGAACGCACAUUGCGCCCCUUGGCAUUCCGAGGGGCAUGCCUGUUCGAGCGUCAUUUCAAACCGUCAAGCUCAGCUUGGUCUUGGGCGCGGCCUACGGGCCCGCCUCGAACCGGUUGGCGGCACCGUCCGGCUCCGAGCGUAGCAAGAAUCUUCCCUCGCUUCGGCAGCCCGGUCGUGGCCCCCCACGGAACGUUACCCCCCAGAGUUUGACCUCGGAUCAGGUAGGGAUACCCGCUGAACUUAAGCAUAUCAAUAAGCGGAGGA
rnacentral:misc_RNA from 1 species